UGAUGCUCUGAGAUUUAAGGAAUUGUGU
rnacentral:piRNA from 1 species